GUACCCAUAGCUCAAUUGGAUAGAGCGUCAGACUACGAAUCUGAAGGUUGGGGGUUCGAUUCCCUCUGGGUACACCA
rnacentral:tRNA from 1 species